UACGUAGGGGGCAAGCGUUGUCCGGAUUUAUUGGGCGUAAAGAGCGUGUAGGCGGUUUGGUAGGUCCGCUGUGAAAACUCGAGCUCAACCUCGAGACGCCGGUGGAAACCAUCAGACUAGAGUCCGGAAGAGGAGAGUGGAAUUCCUGGUGUAGCGGUGAAAUGCGCAGAUAUCAGGAGGAACACCUGUGGUGUAGACAGCUUACUGGACCACUUCUGACGCUGAGACACGAAAGCGUGGGUAGCAAACAGG
rnacentral:rRNA from 1 species